rnacentral:rRNA from 1 species
GACGAACGCUGGCGGCGUGCCUAAUACAUGCAAGUCGAACGCUGAAGGAGGAGCUUGCUUCUCUGGAUGAAUUGCGAACGGGUGAGUAACGCGUAGGUAACCUGCCUGGUAGCGGGGGAUAACUAUUGGAAACGAUAGCUAAUACCGCAUAAGAGUAGAUGUUGCAUGACAUUUGCUUAAAAGGUGCAAUUGCAUCACUACCAGAUGGACCUGCGUUGUAUUAGCUAGUUGGUGAGGUAACGGCUCACCAAGGCGACGAUACAGAACCGACCUGGGAGGGGGAGCGGCCACACUGAGACUGAGACACGGCCCAGACUCCUACGGGAGGCAGCAGGAGGGAUUCUUCGGCCAUGGGCGGAAGUCUGACCGAGCAACGCCGCGUGAGGGAAGAAGGUUUUCGGAUCGUAAAGCUCUGUUGUAAGAGAAGAACGAGUGUGAGAGUGGAAAGUUCACACUGUGACGGUAUCUUACCAGAAAGGGACGGCUAACUACGUG